rnacentral:rRNA from 1 species
CCUACGGGUGGCAGCAGUGAGGAAUAUUGGUCAAUGGCCGGAAGGCUGAACCAGCCAAGCCGCGUGAAGGACGAAGGUGCCACGCAGUGUAAACUUCUUUUGUCAAGGGACAAAAUCAGGCACGAGAGCCUGACCGAGGGUACUUGAAGAAAAAGCAUCGGCUAACUCCGUGCCAGCAGCCGCGGUAAUACGGAGGAUGCGAGCGUUAUCCGGAUUUAUUGGGGUUAAAGGGUGCGUAGGCGGGCUGUUAAGUCCGCGGUAAAAGCCCGGGGCUCAACCCCGGCGAGCCGUUGAAACUGGCUGUCUUGAGCUGUCGAGCGGUAUUCGGACUGCGCAUUGUAGCGGU